AGCUCGAGUCUCAGGAUGCGCGCCCCAGGAAACACCGAUCCCGGACUAGCCCCCAAAUAAAAGAUCCCAGGCAGAGAGACCCUUACUCAAGUCUCAGGAAAUCGUGGGCCCCAGACACAUAGAGACCA
rnacentral:pre_miRNA from 14 species